rnacentral:tRNA from 1 species
GCCCUUGUAGCUCAGCUGGUAGAGCACAUCCUUGGUAAGGAUGAGGUCGGCGGUUCAAAUCCGCUCGGGGGCUCCA